UCCCAGGUAGCUCAGCCGGCAGAGCGGGUGGCUGUUAACCACCAUGUCGGGGGUUCGAAUCCCUCCCUGGGAGCCA
rnacentral:tRNA from 7 species